UACGGAGGAUGCGAGCGUUAUCCGGAUUUAUUGAGUUUAAAGGGUGCGCAGGCGGCACGGCAAGCCGGCGGUCAAAUCGCGGGGCUCAACCCCGCCCAGCCGUCGGAACUGCCGGGCUAGAGUGGGCGAGAAGUGCGCGGAAUGCGUGGUGUAGCGGUGAAAUGCAUAGAUAUCACGCAGAACUCCGAUUGCGAAGGCAGCGCACCGGCGCCCUACUGACGCUCAGGCACGAAAGCGUGGGUAUCGAACAGG
rnacentral:rRNA from 1 species